GCACAAGCGGUGGAUGAUGUGGUUUAAUUCGAUGCAACGCGAAAACCUUACCCACCUUUGACAUGUACGGAAGUUGCCAGAGAUGGCUUCGUGCUCGAAAGAGAGCCGUAACACAGGUGCUGCAUGGCUGUCGUCAGCUCGUGUCGUGAGAUGUUGGGUUAAGUCCCGCAACGAGCGCAACCCUUGUCAUUAGUUGCUACGAAAGGGCACUCUAAUGAGACUGCCGGUGACAAACCGGAGGAAGGUGGGGAUGACGUCAAGUCCUCAUGGCCCUUAUAGGUGGGGCUACACACGUCAUACAAUGGCUGGUACAAAGGGUUGCCAACCCGCGAGGGGGAGCCAAUCCCAUAAAGCCAGUCGUAGUCCGGAUCGCAGUCUGCAACUCGACUGCGUGAAGUCGGAAUCGCUAGUAAUCGUGAAUCAGAAUGUCACGGUGAAUACGUUCCCGGGCCUU
rnacentral:rRNA from 1 species